UUUUUUAUAAUUAGUAUUUUCAUUGUUGUUAGAUGAUAAAACAUGAUUAAUACUUUAUGCGUGACUUAUCUUUUUAAUUUUUUUCAUUAAUUUUUUUAAAUUAAGACAGACGGUCAAACGUUGGGCACGGAAACCAGGGUUUGUCUUUUU
rnacentral:pre_miRNA from 1 species